ACUACCCUUUGUAGCCUACCUCUUACACAAUCCUAAUCGCUCUUAGCCUUAUUUGAGUAGUCCGCUGUUACGCACGCCCUAUAAAUAAGAACUCGCAACAUUACGCUGUAGUUAGACAACCCAAGAUGGUUUCCACAGACUGCAACAGUUGAACGAUCAAAUUCGCGAACGAGAGCAACAACUCGCCAUCUUACAUACGCGCAACAACGCCUUAAUGAGCUGGACUAUUGUAUCCCGACCUAGCCAAGAUGCCGCCGUAGAACCACCACCUGAUCGAACCACAAGUAGCAAGGAUAACGAUGACGAAACACCGCCGAGAUUGGAAAUUAAGGAAUACUACAAAGGGUAGUGAUAAGAGUGGUGUGAAACAGUGUUGCCACACCACACGCUAUGUCCAUCAUGGUUCUAGCACAUUCUGCGCCCUUCUACUGCUGUCUUGCCACUUCUAAAUAUAGAUACUUCUAUUACUCCUAUUACAAGUGUGAAAAGUGAAUAGCAGAAGAUAGUAGAAAGGGAUAAUAAUAGUAAUGAUAUUAGUAGAUAGCGUAGUUGGUAGCUAAUCGCUAAGAGAAGAAAGAGAAGAGAAGAUAAGAGGAAACAAAAAUGUGCGAAGUACAUGCGUAUAUAUAUAUAUAUGUAUAUGUAUAUGUAUAUGCAUAGAAAUAGUGGUAGCGAGAAAAGGAAAGAAUAAACGGAGAUAAAUGAAGAUAUAUAAGG
rnacentral:sRNA from 1 species